rnacentral:rRNA from 1 species
CUUCGGUGGGGAUUAGUGGCGAACGGGUGAGUAACACGUGGGCAAUCUGCCCUGCACUCUGGGACAAGCCCUGGAAACGGGGUCUAAUACCGGAUACUGAUCCUCGCAGGCAUCUGCGAGGUUCGAAAGCUCCGGCGGUGCAGGAUGAGCCCGCGGCCUAUCAGCUAGUUGGUGAGGUAACGGCUCACCAAGGCGACGACGGGUAGCCGGCCUGAGAGGGCGACCGGCCACACUGGGACUGAGACACGGCCCAGACUCCUACGGGAGGCAGCAGUGGGGAAUAUUGCACAAUGGGCGAAAGCCUGAUGCAGCGACGCCGCGUGAGGGAUGACGGCCUUCGGGUUGUAAACCUCUUUCAGCAGGGAAGAAGCGAAAGUGACGGUACCUGCAGAAGAAGCGCCGGCUAACUACGUGCCAGCAGCCGCGGUAAUACGUAGGGCGCAAGCGUUGUCCGGAAUUAUUGGGCGUAAAGAGCUCGUAGGCGGCUUGUCACGUCGGUUGUGAAAGCCCGGGGCUUAACCCCGGGUCUGCAGUCGAUACGGGCAGGCUAGAGUUCGGUAGGGGAGAUCGGAAUUCCUGGUGUAGCGGUGAAAUGCGCAGAUAUCAGGAGGAACACCGGUGGCGAAGGCGGAUCUCUGGGCCGAUACUGACGCUGAGAGCGAAACGAAUGCCG